rnacentral:tRNA from 1 species
UAGUGUAGUGGUUAACACAUCUGCUUUGCAUGCAGAAGGUCCUUGGUUCACACCCCAUG